rnacentral:rRNA from 1 species
UACGGAGGAUGCGAGCGUUAUCCGGAUUUAUUGGGUUUAAAGGGUGCGCAGGCGGAGGCACAAGUCAGCGGUAAAAUCGCGGGGCUCAACCCCGCUCCGCCGUUGAAACUGUGUCCCUUGAGUGCGCGAAGGGUAGGCGGAAUGCGUGGUGUAGCGGUGAAAUGCAUAGAUAUCACGCAGAACUCCGAUCGCGAAGGCAGCCUACCGGCGCGCAACUGACGCUCAUGCACAAAAGCGUGGGUAUCGAACAGG